UAGAACAUUUCUGUACUAUAUUGG
rnacentral:misc_RNA from 1 species